UGGCGAACGGGUGAGUAACACGUGGGUAAUCUGCCCUGCACUCUGGGAUAAGCCUGGGAAACUGGGUCUAAUACUGGAUAUGACCUUUCUCCUUAUGGGGUUUGGUGGAAAGUUUUUCGGUGUAGGAUGAGCCCGCGGCCUAUCAGCUUGUUGGUGGGGUGAUGGCCUACCAAGGCGACGACGGGCAGCCGGCCUGAGAGGGUGAUCGGCCACAUUGGGACUGAGAUACGGCCCAG
rnacentral:rRNA from 1 species